UUUUCUUAACGUCACAAAAGAAAUGAUACAAAAUUUUAGUUUUUAUACAUUUCGAAAUAUUAUAUAGAAUAUUUUAUGCAACAAAUACGGAUCAAAUCGUUUUUCUUAAGUAUUAUUCACUUUCGCAUAAACGUAAGUUGAUAUAUAGAACAGAAUUGUUAAUAAAAUUGAUAUAUUGUUGAUAAAUGAACAUAACGAACAGGAACGAAUAGAAAAUUAGCGGUAAUGGAAAUAGAAGUCGAUCAUCGAUUCUCUUCGAAUAAUAGGAAGCUGCUAUUUUUUCCACAACUUUGGCCAGCCCUGCUCUGAAAGAACUCGAGUAGGGUGUGUCGGUCGAACCCUCUUCGAAGGUUCCGUGCGUCUUAGGUUUCCCUCACGUCUCAAGGAAUUCAAUGGUUAUUCCCGUUUCGUCUUCUACCUUCCCCUCUUACAAGAAUAUCCUUCUUAGGGAUCGAAAGUAAUGAAACUGUUUCUUUCUUUCUUUCUUUCUUCCCCUCCCUCUUUCUUUUAAUCCCUCUUUCUCUCGCAUACGAGGUCGCAUACACGCGCAUGGUAACUUUAGGAAAUUUGAACUUAUCGAUUUCGUGAAUAUAUAUUUAUUAAUUGUAAAAAAUUAUCAGUGAAAUAAGAUAUAAUCAAAUAACAAAAAUGUUAAUACAAGAACGUUUCAAAAAUAUAUAUAAAUGAUAUUUCUCGCGAAUAUUUUAUCGGUUUAUACCUUUGGAGACUUGCCAAAUACACUUUGGUACUUCGUACGAUGUGUUUUUCAACCUAUCUUCUGUUCUUCUUCCUCGUCCUUUUUCGUUCGUCUCUAAUUCCACUUCCACUUUUUUCUGAAUUUUAAUAAUAUCUACGCCAUUUGUUCUCGAAUUCCACAUUUCGUUUUAUCCAUCCUUUUUAUAAACAAGUUCAAAGAAAGACAAUUUAAACAGCAUUAAAAAUAUACGCGAGGAAUUUCGAAGAAAAUAACGAAAGAAAAGUUAAAUCGAAAUGAAUUAGAAAGAAUGAAAGAAGAACGAGACAAGAUGAUAAUUAAUAGCGGUAUCCACACAUCAGUACAGCAGUAUCCACAAUGAAAAAAGGAAGCGAAAGAAGAGGGGGGAAGGAACAAGAAAAACGUCGAGGGAAGGAAUGUUCAGUUGACGAGGGUGGAAAUGAAGGUAAACAUAAGAGAGGAGAAAAAGAAAACAGAAGAUAUAGACGAGUGGCGAGAAGGAGAAAGUAGAGUAAAACGUUAAUCAUCGUGUAAGUAAAUACAUAUGGUAUAAGUAUAAUGUAAGUGUAAGGUAUAAGGAGAGGAUAAACGAUUUACAUAAGAAACGAAACGAAAUGCGAAGGAAGGGAAAUCCACAAUGGGGGAAAACGACAAGAAGCAGAGCACAGCUGGCGGGGCCUUCUGAAGACGAGGGAACGAGUAGAACCGAGAGAGAGGUGAAGCGCAACAGCGGCAAAUCAAUACUCACAUUGCAGUCGUGAAGCCAUAAGCCAAGUCAUCGUGUGUGCGAGAACACCGUGCCUUAAUCUCUCUAUAUUCUCUUCAUAAUCUAUAUAUUAUUGUUUAUUUAGCCGUUGUUGAAAUUAAUAUUCACGAGAGUCUGUUUCAAAUUGUUGGGCCACGAAUACAUUUGAGAGUAAAACUAUCAGAAGUUGUUCUCAAGAGUAUUCCUCAACGCAAGUGGACAUUGCGUUGAAAGUGACCAUCUAAUAAUAAAGUUACUGUCAGAUAGUGAAAAUUAAUAUCGGCUGUUUACGAGAAAUACUCUGGAGAAUUUGCCUUGAAAGUUUUACUGUCAAAUGUACACGCACCUUUAGGUAUAAUAUUAAUCGUAUAUCUAUAAUCUAUACGCGUAGAAAUAUCACGUCAUUUAAAUCAUUUAAAUCAAUAAAAAGUCGAAUAUAUGAUUAUUUAAGAUCGAUAUAAUCCAUAUAAAAAUAUCAUCGACAAUUGUAUCACGCGAGUUCAUAUCUCGUUUCUUGAUUUAUGUUUAUUGUUUUAUGGCACAUAAUUUAACGACGAUGGAAACUUGAACGGGACUACUUACUUAACCUAAUUGCUCGAAGCCAGGGAGAUCGUAAUAUAGAAAAGAAGAAAGAGAAGUGGAGAAACGCGAGAAGAAAUAAUAAUAAAAUGAGGAGAAACGAAAAAAUGAGGAGAAACGGAGAAGCAGAGAAGUGGAUAUGAUAAAAUACAAAAGAAAUAAGAGUGACAGUGGGUUGGCAAGGCAGGUUGCUGAGAUAGCUUGAUUCGGAGAAGGUUAGGACUGAAAUGAAACGAGAUGCCUCGGGCCUACUGGGCGCAAGAACUGGGAGUUCGUUCACGUGCGCUCACGACUCUGUUCAACAGCGAAAUAUGAAAACUCCGGAGGCGAUUUUAAUUUAGCCACAAUGUCUAUUGUUUCCGAAUACUGAGGCGAGAGGACAAAAGAAAAAUGCGCGAACGUGUGUACGCGCAUAUACGUUUCGCUACAUAUACAAACGUACACUGUGAAAGACAUUUAUGGAGCGCGAUAAAGAUUAAGAUAUUGUAAAAGUAUAUGCCGAAACAAGAAAAACGAAUCAUUGUAUAUAACCAAAAAUGAUAUAUAACAUACAGCAGUUUAAAAGAAAGUCAAAACAUACAAUUAUAUAUCUAUUAAAAUUUUAUGUAUUCUAUAUAUAUUUUUAUAUAUAAAUAUAUAAUACAUAUUUAUUAAUAUUUAUAAGUAAUAUAAUGAUAUAAAAUUACUAUUAUAUUUAAAAUAUAUAACAUUAAUAUUAUAACUAUUUUUAUUUUUAAAGAUAUUUCUAAAAAGAAUUUAUUUAAACAAAUAAUAAAUUGUAAAAAAUA